UAACACAUGCAAGUCGAGCGGAAACGAGUUAACUGACCCUUCGGGUGACGUUAACGGCGUCGAGCGGCGGACGGGUGAGUAAUGCCUGGGAAAUUGCCCUGAUGUGGGGGAUAACCAUUGGAAACGAUGGCUAAUACCGCAUAAUGCCUUCGGGCCAAGGAGGGGGGGGACCUUCGGGGCCUCUCGCGUCAGGAUAUGCCCCAGGUGGGAGUUAGCUAGUUGGUGAGGUAAUGGCUCACCAAGGCGACGAUCCCUAGCUGGUCUGAGAGGAUGAUCAGCCACACUGGAACUGAGACACGGUCCAGACUCCUACGGGAGGCAGCAGUGGGGAAUAUUGCACAAUGGGCGCAAGCCUGAUGCAGCCAUGCCGCGUGUGUGAAGAAGGCCUUCGGGUUGUAAAGCACUUUCAGCAGUGAGGAAGGCGGGUACGUUAAUAGCGUGCUCGUUUGACGUUAGCUGCAGAAGAAGCACCGGCUAACUCCGUG
rnacentral:rRNA from 1 species